UAUGUACAUACAUACAUCAUAUAUACACUAGCUAUGCGUGCACAUCGCACGGACAUUGUGCUACCAUAUCUUUUUCUCUAUAUCUACAUUAUUCUUUUUAGUUCUAAUAAAUUCCGAUGGAGAGUGUGUGAUAGCUGUUAUACAGCCUCUUAUACUUUUUGCUGUAUACUGUGCUUUUAAUUAUAUAUGAGGAAUGAAUAUUUAUAUGAAAUGCACGAACUGCUGGUCAGUGUGAUGUGGAAUUUAUGUGCAACAUGCUUCAAAUAAACAAGAAUCUACAAUUUAUUUUCUGCCAUAAUAAAUAAAUGGAAUAACAUCACAAUGUUUUCUAACAUCCAAAAGAAGGACUAUAGAGUCGUGGAU